UCUCUCUCUCUCUCUCCACACUCUCUUGCCUCCCCCUCUUCUCUGCCCUCCGACGCCCUUCCACCUCCAUCCCUCUGUCCUCUCGCCGCCCUCCCACCUCCGCCCUCUCGCCUCCGCCGUCUUCCCACUGGCCUCCGCCGCCCUCCCACCUCCGCCCUCUCGCCUCUCGCCGCCUUUCCACUGGCCUCCGCCGCUCUCCCACUUCCACCUUCUCGCCUCUCGCCGCCUUCUCACUGACCUUCGCCGCCCUCCCACCUCC
rnacentral:lncRNA from 1 species